rnacentral:rRNA from 1 species
UACGUAGGGUGCAAGCGUUGUCCGGAAUUAUUGGGCGUAAAGAGCUCGUAGGCGGUUUGUCGCGUCGGCUGUGAAAACUCGGGGCUCAACCCCGAGCCUGCAGUCGAUACGGGCAGACUAGAGUGCUGUAGGGGAGACUGGAAUUCCUGGUGUAGCGGUGAAAUGCGCAGAUAUCAGGAGGAACACCGGUGGCGAAGGCGGUUCUCUGGGCAUGACCUGACGCUGAGGAGCGAAAGUGUGGGGAGCGAACAGG